rnacentral:rRNA from 1 species
AGAGUUUGAUGUUGGAUCAGGAUGAACGCUGGUUGCGUGCCUAAUACAUACAAUUCUAACGUGAGCCUUUUUUCCGAAAGGUGAACCUGCCUCAACGGGUGAGUAACACGUUGGUGACCUGCCCCGAACAGGGGGAUAACACCGCGAAAGCGGCGCUAAUACCGCGGAGGUCUGGAUUGUUAGAGGGUUCAGACUAAAGUUUUCUGACGGUUCGGGAGGGGCCUGCGGGCUAUCAGCUAGUUGGUGAGGUAAAGGCUCACCAAGGCGCAGACGGCUAGGGGGCGUGAGAGCGUGACCCCCCACAAGGGAACUGAGAGACGGUCCCUACUCCUACGGGAGGCAGCAGUGAGGAAUAUUGAGCAAUGGGCGCAUGCCUGACUCAGCAACGCCGCGUGGACGAUGACGGCCUUCGGGUUGUAAAGUCCUUUUCUGAGGGACGAUGAUGACGGUACCUCAGGAACAAGUCCCGGCUAACUACGUGCCAGCAGCCGCGGUAAAACGUAGGGGGCGAGCGUUAUCCGGAUUUACUGGGCGUAAAGCGCAUGUAGGCGGUGGGAUAAGUCAGCCGUGAAAGCUCCCGGCUUAACUGGGAGAGGUCGGUUGAAACUAUCCGACUGGAGGUUGGAAGAGGAUAGUGGAAUUCCCGGUGUAGUGGUGGAAUGCGUAGAUAUCGGGAGGAACACAGUGGCGAAAGCGGCUCUCUGGACCAAUUCUGACGCUGAGAUGCGAAAGCGUGGGGAGCAAACGGGAUUAGAUACCCCGGUAGUCCACGCUGUAAACGAUGGAGACUAGGUGUCGGCGGUCAUUUACCCCGUCGGUGCCGCAGCCAACGCGUUAAAGUCUCCCGCCUGGGGACUACGGCCGCAAGGUUAAAACUCAAAGGAAUUGACGGGGGCCCGCACAAGCAGCGGAGCGUGUGGUUUAAUUCGAUGAUACGCGAAGAACCUUACCUGGGUUUGACAUACCGGUAGUAGGAAAGCGAAAGCCGACCGACCCUUCGGGGAGCCGGAACAGGUGCUGCAUGGCUGUCGUCAGCUCGUGUCGUGAGAUGUUGGGUUAAGUCCCGCAACGAGGGCAACCCUCGUGGCUAGUUAACAAGUGUCUAGCCAGACUGCCGGUUUCAAACCGGAGGAAGGUGGGGAUGACGUCAAGUCAGCAUGGUCUUUAUGUCCAGGGCGACACACACGCUACAAUGGCCGGUACAAUGGGUGGCCCCCUCGCGAGAGGUAGCUAAUCCCCAAAGCCGGUCUCAGUUCAGAUUGCAGUCUGCAACUCGACUGCAUGAAGGCGGAGUUGCUAGUAACCGCGCGUCAGCCAUAGUGCGGUGAAUGCGUUCCCGGGCCUUGUACACACCGCCCGUCACAUCAUGGGAGUGGGCAACACCUGAAGUCGGUGCCCAAACCGCAAGGAAGGAACUGCCUAAGGUGGGGUCGGUGACUGGGAUGAAGUCGUAACAAGGU